CCUACGGGCGGCAGCAGUGGGGAAUAUUGCGCAAUGGGCGAAAGCCUGACGCAGCGACGCCGCGUGAGGGAUGAAGGUCUUCGGAUCGUAAACCUCUGUCAGCAGGGAAGAACGGUCACUGUGCUAAUCAGCAGUGAAUUGACGGUACCUGCAAAGGAAGCACCGGCUAACUCCGUGCCAGCAGCCGCGGUAAUACGGAGGAUGCGAGCGUUAUCCGGAUUUAUUGGGUUUAAAGGGUGCGUAGGCGGACUGUUAAGUCAGCGGUAAAAGCCCGGGGCUCAACCCCGGCGAGCCGUUGAAACUGGCUGUCUUGAGAUGUCGAGAGGUAUGCGGAAUGCGCAGUGUAGCGGUGAAAUGCUUAGAUAUUGCGCAGAACUCCGAUUGCGAAGGCAGCAUACCGGCGGCGAUCUGACGCUGAGGCACGAAAGCGUGGGUAUCGAACAGGAUUAGAUACCCGUGUAGUC
rnacentral:rRNA from 1 species